AAGUAAGGACGUGUUUUGAUUUAUGUAUUUAAACGUGUCGUUCAAGUUUUACGAUGGAGCAACGAGCGUGUAUUAAGUUUUGUUUCAAACUUGGCAAAACUGCAACAGAAACUCACGAAAUGAUGAAAACAGCGUUCGGAGAGGAUGCACGCAUAGUAACAUUCGACUGGUUUAAACGUUUUAAGAAAAGCCGGCAAUCACUGGAUGACGAUGCAAGAAGUAAUCAACCAACGGCUCAAUAUGAGAAAACUAUGGAAGCUGUGCGUUCUUUACCGAGGACCCUCAUCUGACACUUCGUGCGAUAUCUGAACAGUUAAAAAUAAAGACACUGUUUCUAUUCCAUCAUUCAUGGGGAGAUUUGAACCGUAGAAAAAUUUGUGCGCGCUUUGUUCCACAUUUUUUAACUCCAGAACAGAAAGAAAUGCGUGUGAAUUGUUGUCGUGACUUUGUUGAAAUGGCAGACAAGGAUCCAGAUUUUAUAAAAACUCGGUGAUACUGUUGGUCAAAUGGAACUGUUUUGCUGUCAGUUUUGUCAGUUAAUUAUCUGUAACUUGUGGAAAGGAUUCUUUUUUUUCAUACAUGCAAGACGCAUAACGCAUUGAAAAUAUGCUCAAUACUGCAGCAAAUUAAGAUAAUAAUGAGAGUCACCUUGUUGAAGAGCCA